rnacentral:rRNA from 1 species
UACAGAGGGGGCAAGCGUUGUUCGGAAUUACUGGGCGUAAAGGGCGCGUAGGCGGCCUGCUAAGUCGAACGUGAAAUCCCUGGGCUCAACCCAGGAACUGCGUCCGAUACUGGUUGGCUUGAAUCCGGGAGAGGGAUGUGGAAUUCCAGGUGUAGCGGUGAAAUGCGUAGAUAUCUGGAGGAACACCGGUGGCGAAGGCGGCGACCUGGUCCGUGACUGACGCUGAGGCGCGAAAGCGUGGGGAGCAAACAGG